UAGGCUUGGAGGGCUGAAUGAAAUAGGAAGAGGUAAGAUCAGAAAGAAUGAUAGCAUUACACACAUAGUCAUUCAAAUAUGCAGGCUUCUGAGUGAUCCUUUCUAACUUUCUGAUUGGAGGAGGUGGAAUGGGAAUAGGAUUGUGACAACCCGACCGGUCGUCUUUGAAAUUUAUUCCCCGUUUCCCCAUUAACUAUUUGCCCAAAGUUAAUUUCUGCUAUUUUGGUUUGCCGAAACGUUCGGUGAUACAAUUCGGAGUGAUUGGGAUACUUAGUCCCUAAAUGAGAGCUUAAGUAUUGGAAAAU
rnacentral:lncRNA from 1 species